rnacentral:rRNA from 1 species
CUGGCGGCGUGCUUACACAUGCAAGUCGAAACGAUGAAAGCAGAGCUUGCUCUGUGGAUUAGUGGCGAACGGGUGAGUAACACGUGAGUAACCUGCCCUUGACUCUGGGAUAAGCACUGGAAACGGUGUCUAAUACCGGAUACGACCCUCGGAGGCAUCUUCAGGGGGUGGAAAGAAUUUCGGUCAAGGAUGGACUCGCGGCCUAUCAGCUAGUUGGUGAGGUAAUGGCCCACCAAGGCGACGACGGGUAGCCGGCCUGAGAGGGUGACCGGCCACACUGGGACUGAGACACGGCCCAGACUCCUACGGGAGGCAGCAGUGGGGAAUAUUGCACAAUGGGCGCAAGCCUGAUGCAGCACCGCCCCGUGAGGGACGAAGGCCUUCGGGUUGUAACCUCUUUUAGUAGGGAAGAAGCGAAAGUGACGGUACCUGCA